CUUGAGAGUAGGAGCGAAAGACUAAUCAAACCCCGUGAUAGCUGGUUCUCUCCGAAAUCGCUUGAGGGCGAGCGUUGAGUAAGUACUCCGCGGAGGUAGAGCACUGAAUGGCUUAGGGACCCCACCAGGUUACCAAAACCAAUCAAACUCCGAAUUCCGCGGAUCCCAAUAACUCAGCAUUCAGGCUGUGGGGGAUAAGCUUCAUAGCCGAGAGGGCAACAGCCCAGACCGCCAGCUAAGGUGCCUAAAUGUGAUUAAGUGGAAAGGAUGUGACGUUGCUUAGACAGUGAGGAUGUUGGCUUAGAGGCAGCCACCAUUUAAACAGUGCGUAAUAGCUGACUCAUCGAGCGAUGUCGCGCCGAAAAUGAUUGGCGAUCAAAUCACAUACCGAAGCUGCGGAUUUAUGAGUGCCUUGGCACUCAUGAGUGGUAGGAGAGCGUGACCAGCGCGGUGAAGCCGAACGGAAACGGACGGUGGAGCGCUGGCCAGUGAGAAUGCAGACACGAGUAGCGAUAAACCCGGUGAGAAUCCGGGUCGCCGUAAACCCAAGGUUUCCUGGGCCAGGUUCGUCCUCCCAGGGUUAGCCGGGAGCUAAGCUGAGGCCGUAAGGCGUAAGCGAUGCACAGCAGGUUAAAUAUUCCUGCGCCGGCUGGGGCUAAGGCUGCGAAUCACGCAACGAAGGACAUCGAUAAGGUCAUCGAAAGACCGAGCUUAGGCCUCUGGCCGAAGCGCAUCGGUGGGCAAGUUGCCGAGAAAAGUUUGCAGUCGUUUCCCCGGUCGCCCGUACCGUAAACCGACACAGGUGGGUGAGUGUAAGCGCACUCAGGCGCGCGAGAGAAACCUCUCUAAGGAACUCGGCACAUUAGCCCCGUAACUUCGGGAGAAGGGGUGCCUGAAAGCGCGGCAGCAAUGUUGCGCCGUAAGGCCACAGUAAAUUGCGUUUAGCGACUGUUUAACAAAAACACAGCUCUCUGCCAAGUCGUGAAGACGACGUAUAGGGAGUGACACGUGACCAAUGCGGAAAGAUCAAAGCGUUUUGUUAGCCGCAAGGCGAAGCUCGGCGCCCAAGUCCCCGUGAAUGUCGGCCGUAACUAUAACGGUCCUAAGGUAGCGAAAUUCCUUGUCGGGUAAGUUCCGACCUGCACGAAUCGUGUAACGACUGAACGACUGUCUCGGAGAGGAUCUCGGCGAAACUGUAACGGCGGUGAAGAUGCCGCCUGCCCGCAGUAGGACGGAAAGACCCUAUGCACCUUUACUGUAAGCUCGUAUUGUGUUCUGGUUAACGAUGCUUAGCGUAGGUGGGAGACUUUGAAGCGCGGGCUUCGGUUCGCGUCGAGUCGCAAUGUGAAACACCACUCUUCGCUAAUUAGGAUUCUAACCCCGAUUCCUGUCAGCCAGGCGGGGGACAGUGCGUGCGGGUCAGUUUGACUGGGGCGGUUUCCUCCCAAAGAGUAACGGAGGAGCGCGAAGCUUGGCUCAGCAUGGUUGGCAACCAUGCGUUGAGGGUAUGGCUAGAAGCCAGGUUAACUGUGAGACCUACAAGUCGAGCAGGUGCGAAAGCAGGCCCAAAUGAUCCGACGGUUUAAUGUGGAAUUGCCGUCGCUCAACGGACAAAAGGUACGCUAGGGAUAACAGGCUGAUCGGGUCCAAGAGUUCACAUCGACGACCCGGUUUGGCACCUCGAUGUCGGCUCAUCGCAUCCUGGGGCUGGAGAAGGUCCCAAG
rnacentral:rRNA from 1 species